rnacentral:rRNA from 1 species
UACGUAGGUGGCACGCGUUGUCCGGAUUUACUGGGCGUAAAGGGCGUGCAGGCGGUUUGUUAAGUGCAGGGUGAAAGCUCCCGGCUCAACUGGGAGAGGUCCUUGCAUACUGGCAAACUCGAGGGAGGCAGAGGAAAGUGGAAUUCCCGGUGUAGUGGUGAUAUGCGUAGAUAUCGGGAGGAACACCUGUGGCGAAGGCGGCUUUCUGGGCCUUACCUGACGCUGAGACGCGAAAGCGUGGGGAGCAAGCAGG